UACGUAGGGUGCAAGCGUUGUCCGGAAUUAUUGGGCGUAAAGGGCUCGUAGGCGGUUUGUCGCGUCGGGAGUGAAAACACUGGGCUUAACUCAGUGCUUGCUUUCGAUACGGGCAGACUAGAGGUAUGCAGGGGAGAACGGAAUUCCUGGUGUAGCGGUGAAAUGCGCAGAUAUCAGGAGGAACACCGGUGGCGAAGGCGGUUCUCUGGGCAUUACCUGACGCUGAGGAGCGAAAGUGUGGGGAGCGAACAGG
rnacentral:rRNA from 1 species